CGGGUCAACAGAGGGAUGCAAAACCGCGAGGUGGAGCGAACCCCUAAAAGCCGUCCCAGUUCAGAUUGCAGUCUGCAACUCGACUGCAUGAAGUCGGAAUCGCUAGUAAUCGCGGAUCAGCAUGCCGCGGUGAAUACGUUCCCGGGCCUUGUACACACCGCCCGUCACACCAUGAGAGUCGGGAACACCCGAAGUCCGUAGCCUAACCGCAAGGAGGGCGCGGCCGAAGGUGGGUUCGAUAAUUGGGGUGAAGUCGUAACAAGGUACC
rnacentral:rRNA from 1 species